UACGAAGGGGGCUAGCGUUGUUCGGAAUUACUGGGCGUAAAGCGAACGUAGGCGGUGUUCCAUGUCAGAGGUGAAAGCCUGGGGCUCAACUCCAGAAUUGCCUUUGAAACGGGGACGCUUGAGUCCGAGAGAGGAUGGCGGAAUUCCUAGUGUAGAGGUGAAAUUCGUAGAUAUUAGGAAGAACACCGGUGGCGAAGGCGGCCAUCUGGCUCGGUACUGACGCUCAUGCACGAAAGCGUGGGGAGCAAACAGG
rnacentral:rRNA from 1 species